rnacentral:rRNA from 1 species
GACGAACGCUGGCGGCGUGCUUAACACAUGCAAGUCGAACGGAGUGCUCAUGACAGAGGUUUCGGCCAAUUGAUUGAGUUACUUAGUGGCGGACUGGUGAGUAACGCGUGAGGAACCUGCCUUUCAGAGGGGGACAACAGUUGGAAACGACUGCUAAUACCGCAUAAAUUAUCCAGUCGCAUGGACAGGAUAAUCAAAGGAGCAAUCCGCUGAAGGAUGGACUCGCGUCCGAUUAGAUA